rnacentral:rRNA from 1 species
UACAGAGGGGGCAAGCGUUAUUCGGAAUUAUUGGGCGUAAAGGGCGCGUAGGCGGCCUGGCAAGUGGAUGGUGAAAUCCCUCGGCUUAACCGAGGAACUGCCAUCCAGACUGCUUGGCUUGAGACCGGGAGAGGUGAGUGGAACUGCGAGUGUAGAGGUGAAAUUCGUAGAUAUUCGCAAGAACACCAGUGGCGAAGGCGGCUCACUGGCCCGAUACUGACGCUGAGGUGCGAAAGCGUGGGGAGCAAACAGG